AACCUAAGGGAAGAGAGUCUUCUUUGCCAAGUAAACUCUCCGCCUCAGCCUGGGCCCCGCUGGUUACAGAAAUGACAUUAGACACACACACAAUGGUAAUACCACUCAAGAACGGCUGCAUUUAAUACCUGUCUCCACGGAGCUCAAAUUCACUUUUACGGCCUGUUUGUGGGCAAGAAGGAGGAUUCGAGCGAUGGUUACUUCCUCUAAGAGCUUUUCUAUUGCUUCACGCCCCAAAUUAACAGGCUCCAUACAGCCUCCCUCCCAGCGCCCCAGGACCCACUAAACAGACAAAGACCACACUGACUCCAGCCCAGCGUCUCCAGCACUGCAGGCAGUGUGUUGCCAGUAGGUCAGGCUAAGUUUGGAAAAGUCGAGAUUUCCCAGGGCAGGGGGUCAGGGGUGGGGGUGGGGGGGUGGAGGUCGGGUAGCCUUUUCAAGGGAGGCUGCAGCCUUGCUUUCUGAAGAUCACUGGCCCAAUGCAAAUAGUUUCUUUCAGCCGUUCCAGGAGCUUGCACGAGCCACUUCACAGUAAUUUUACUACCCCAUAAUAAAAGGUCAAUGCUUGUUUAGAAGGUUGCUCAAGAUUCCAGGUCUAAAAAAACACAUUUAAUCCUGCAGAGGAUCUGUCUUGGCCAGGGCUGACACUGUCUCUGCUCUAGCCCUGAGAUGGAAAGCAUCUCCCCGUAUCCCCAAAAAGGAGACAGAGGUCCUCAGUGCUUCCUGGAAAGCAUGCUACUCCUACAUUUUGGUGCAGCAUGCAGGAUCUGAGUUCCCUUACCAGGGAUCAAACCCAUACCAUCUGCAGUGGAAGGAUGGAACUGUAACCACCAGACCACCAGGGAAUUCCCUGAUUGUUCUACGUUGAUAAAACUCAUGUUAUUGAGAAGAAAGAAAAAAAAAAGAACUUUGUUGUUGUCUACUCUUCAUGCUUCUGGAAUACCCUGCUCACUCCCACCUUCCUUCCCCCUCUCCCAACAAGGGAUGGGAACUCUGUUUGCAUAUUUUAUUAUUAUUUCACGUCAUUGGAAUGAGAGUCUCAGCAAACACACUUUCUCUUGUGGAAUUCCCUAAUAAAAACAGACAGCUUGUUUUGAACAAGCAGCCUCUGGAACAGGAGAAGCAGCAGAAGCUGGUGCAGGAGCUGACUGGGUUUUUCCUCUUGCCUCACAGAUGUCUUUAUCAUCUGAAUAUACACUCCCAGCCCCCAGGGCCAUGAGAGAACUUACAAAGCAAGUUUUCAAAAAUAUUUAUUAUUUAUUUGGCUAUGCUGGGUCUUAGUUGUGGCAUGUGGGAUCUAGUUCCCUGACCAGUGAUUGAACCCGAGUCCCCUGCAUUGGGAGCAUGGAGUCUUAGCCACAGGACCAUUAGGGAAGUCCGUAUAAAGCAAUUUUGGAUUCUUUGAAAUAGAGGGACUUAAUUUGUCACAUGGUUUUGACAAUUUCUUGCUUCAAGUACCAUUUCCUACAACAGGAUAGCAUCAAUUUGUGCAGAGUCCUACAUGGACCUGAAAUUUAACUGAGAAAGGCACCCAGUCCUGACGACUCUUGUUAACCAGCAGUGUUCUCGUGGCUACCAGCUUGCAGAGAAACCCAAGGACAUGCCAGAUUUACCUCCUCCCGGAGGAAGUGGUUGAGAAAUCCAUCUUCUUUUCAUUAUGAUGAGGGAAUGAGAAACAUGCCGUCCUGAAGAAGUACUAGGGGGACUUCUGUGUCUCCCCAGCACCAUCCCGAGGGCAAGGUGAACACAGCAGUGAUCGACGGCAGUGGUGGAGACCUGCUGUCAGCUUAUCUGUCUACCAGCUCCUGUGAAAGCAAGCCAAAGAACAAGCCAUAAGUCUACGAGCCAUUCAUGAACUCCUUUCUGCUUUGAAAAUGUAGUUCAUGCUUUCUAACUGUCAUUAUUAUGACAUGGAUGAGGCUUCCCUCAUAGCUCAGUCAGUAAAGAAUCUGCCUGCAGUGCAGGAGACCGGGGUUUGAUUCCUAGGUUGGGAAGAUCCCCUGGAGAAGGAAAUGGCAGCCCACUCCAGUAUUCUUGCCUGGAGAAUCCCAUAGACAGAGGAGUCUGGCAGGCUACAGUCCAUGGGGUCGCAGGAGUUGGACACGACUUAGAGACUAAACCAUCAACCGUGACAUGAAUGCUCAUUGAAUACUGGCUCUUGAUGAUUACAAUGACCUUGUCCUUGGGCAUACUGGAAGCAGGACAUGGCCUUCCUCCUUCCAUCCUCAUCUCUUCCCAGUCCCAGAAAUCACACAAUCAAUAACGGUCAUCUGUUGCUAAGAACUUAAGCUGUGAACUUUCUUGGGAGAUAUUUGUACUUUAAUUGUAAACCUAAUAAUGCCUUCGAGAAGCAGAGGAAUGAUGCUACCCAAUGGAUCACAGACACUCAUAGAAGCAAGGAGGCAAUCUGACUGAGGAGACCUCUCUGGAGCUCUUCAAUGCUCCCAACAGGUCCACCCUGAUGGUACACAUUUAUAUGAGAAAACACUGUAGCUGUCACUAAUUCCUUUCCUGUUGACACCUUGACCUGAGCUGUUAUUUAACUGCAAAGUACACUUGGUGGUAAACUGUAUAUAUUUCCUCAGUUGCUGUGAAUUCUGACUCAAGCUAAUUCAGGCUAGCUUAAUGAAACAAGAACCAGGAAAGCAAAAGCUUUCUGGCAGUUGCCUUGUGUACUGAUGUAGAGCUUGGGCCUCCCUGGUGGCUCAGCUGGUAAAGAAUCCGCUUGCAAUGCGGGAGACCUGGGUUUGAUCCCUGGCUUGGGAAGAUCCCCUGGAGA
ensembl:lncRNA